rnacentral:rRNA from 1 species
AUGCACUGGUAUGCGCGGUGGAAAAUGUGCGUCCCGAAGAAGAAGGAUGGCAUGGGGUUUAGAGACCUUCAUAAUUUUAAUCUUGGUAUGUUAGCAAAGCAGUGUUGGCGACUUCUCCAAAAUCCUGUCUCUCUGUGUGCACACGUGCUGAGUGCUAAGUACUAUCCAGAUGGUGACAUACUAAAAGCAGGCCCAAAGAAAGGUUCCUCGUUCACAUGGCAAAGCAUUAUUGCAGGAAUUGUAAGUGCAUCUAGUGCCACCCCUAGUUGGUUUUGGAGUAUUGACGACAAACCUAGUUGA